rnacentral:sRNA from 1 species
UCGACACCUACCCGCUAUUAACCAAUGUACUCCCGA